GCCCUAUGGGUUGUAAACUUCUUUUGUAUAGGGAUAAACCUACUCUCGUGAGGGUAGCUGAAGGUACUAUACGAAUAAGCACCGGCUAACUCCGUGCCAGCAGCCGCGGUAAUACGGAGGGUGCAAGCGUUAUCCGGAUUUAUUGGGUUUAAAGGGUCCGUAGGCGGAUCUGUAAGUCAGUGGUGAAAUCUCACAGCUUAACUGUGAAACUGCCAUUGAUACUGCAGGUCUUGAGUGUUGUUGAAGUAGCUGGAAUAAGUAGUGUAGCGGUGAAAUGCAUAGAUAUUACUUANAACACCAAUUGCGAAGGCAGGUUACUAAGCAACAACUGACGCUGAUGGACGAAAGCGUGGGGAGCGAACAGGAUUANAUACCCUGGUAGUCCACGCCGUAAACGAUGCUAACUCGUUUUUGGUUUUUCGGAAUCAGAGACUAAGCGAAAGUGAUAAGUUAGCCACCUGGGGAGUACGUUCGCAAGAAUGA
rnacentral:rRNA from 1 species